GACGAACGCUGGCGGCGUGCCUAAUACAUGCAAGUCGAGCGGACCACUUCGGUGGUCAGCGGCGGACGGGUGAGUAACACGUGGGCAACCUGCCUGUAAGACUGGGAUAACACCGGGAAACCGGUGCUAAUACCGGAUAAUCCUUUCCUUCACAUGAAGGAAAGCUGAAAGACGGUUUCGGCUGUCACUUACAGAUGGGCCCGCGGCGCAUUAGCUAGUUGGUGAGGUAACGGCUCACCAAGGCAACGAUGCGUAGCCGACCUGAGAGGGUGGUCGGCCACACUGGAACUGAGACACGGCCCAGACUCCUACGGGAGGCAGCAGUAGGGAAUCUUCCGCAAUGGACGAAAGUCUGACGGAGCAACGCCGCGUGAGCGAUGAAGGCCUUCGGGUCGUAAAGCUCUGUUGUCAGGGAAGAACAAGUACUGGAGUAACUGCCGGUACCUUGACGGUACCUGACCAGAAAGCCACGGCUAACUACGUGCCAGCCGCCGCAGUAAGAC
rnacentral:rRNA from 1 species